rnacentral:rRNA from 1 species
GACGAACGCUGGCGGCGUGCCUAAUACAUGCAAGUAGAACGCACAGUUUAUACCGUAGCUUGCUACACCAUAAACUGUGAGUUGCGAACGGGUGAGUAACGCGUAGGUAACCUGCCUGGUAGCGGGGGAUAACUAUUGGAAACGAUAGCUAAUACCGCAUAAUAUUAAUUAUUGCAUGAUAAUUGAUUGAAAGAUGCAAUUGCAUCACUACCAGAUGGACCUGCGUUGUAUUAGCUAGUAGGUGAGGUAACGGCUCACCUAGGCGACGAUACAUAGCCGACCUGAGAGGGUGAUCGGCCACACUGGGACGGAGACACGGCCCAGACUCCUACGGGAGGCAGCAGUAGGGAAUCUUCGGCAAUGGACGAAAGUCUGACCGAGCAACGCCGCGUGAGUGAAGAAGGUUGUCGGAUUGUAAAGCUCUGUUGUAAGAGAAGAACGGGUGUGAGAGUGGAAAGUUCACACUGUGACGGUAUCUUACCAGAAAGGGACGGCUAACUACGUG